GAUGAACGCUGGCGGCGUGCCUAAUACAUGCAAGUCGAGCGAACGGACGAGAAGCUUGCUUCUCUGAUGUUAGCGGCGGACGGGUGAGUAACACGUGGAUAACCUACCUAUAAGACUGGGAUAACUUCGGGAAACCGUAGCUAAUACCGGAUAAUAUUUUGAACCGCAUGGUUCAAAAGUGAAAGACGGUCUUGCUGUCACUUAUAGAUGGAUCCGCGCUGCAUUAUCUAGUUGGUAAGGUAACGGCUUACCAAGGCAACGAUGCAUAGCCGACCUGAGAGGGUGAUCGGCCACACUGGAACUGAGACACGGUCCAGACGCCUACGGGAGGCAGCAGUAGGGAAUCUUCCGCAAUGGGCGAAAGCCUGACGGAGCAACGCCGCGUGAGUGAUGAAGGUCUUCGGAUCGUAAAACUCUGUUAUUAGGGAAGAACAUAUGUGUAAGUAACUGUGCACAUCUUGACGGUACCUAAUCAGAAAGCCACGGCUAACUACGUG
rnacentral:rRNA from 1 species